rnacentral:rRNA from 1 species
GUCGAACGAACUUCCGUUAAUUGAUUAUGACGUACUUGUACUGAUUGAGAUUUUAACACGAAGUGAGUGGCGAACGGGUGAGUAACACGUGGGUAACCUGCCCAGAAGUAGGGGAUAACACCUGGAAACAGAUGCUAAUACCGUAUAACAGAGAAAACCGCAUGGUUUUCUUUUAAAAGAUGGCUCUGCUAUCACUUCUGGAUGGACCCGCGGCGUAUUAGCUAGUUGGUGAGGUAAAGGCUCACCAAGGCAGUGAUACGUAGCCGACCUGAGAGGGUAAUCGGCCACAUUGGGACUGAGACACGGCCCAGACUCCUACGGGAGGCAGCAGUAGGGAAUCUUCCACAAUGGACGCAAGUCUGAUGGAGCAACGCCGCGUGAGUGAAGAAGGGUUUCGGCUCGUAAAGCUCUGUUGUUAAAGAAGAACGUGGGUAAGAGUAACUGUUUACCCAGUGACGGUAUUUAACCAGAAAGCCACGGCUAACUACGUGCCAGCAGCCGCGGUAAUACGUAGGUGGCAAGCGUUAUCCGGAUUUAUUGGGCGUAAAGCGAGCGCAGGCGGUCUUUUAAGUCUAAUGUGAAAGCCUUCGGCUCAACCGAAGAAGUGCAUUGGAAACUGGGAGACUUGAGUGCAGAAGAGGACAGUGGAACUCCAUGUGUAGCGGUGAAAUGCGUAGAUAUAUGGAAGAACACCAGUGGCGAAGGCGGCUGUCUGGUCUGCAACUGACGCUGAG